ACAACUUCACAUUUAUUAGAUUCAUUCAUGUUGAGAUAAACUGACACAAAGGGAUUAGGGUACAUAUGAUUCCCACUCCAGAGCAGAAGGUGGCGGUAUAACCACCAAUAAACUGGAUACCAACUAAUGUAAUCAGAGACAAAAAUCAAUCUACUUUUAAAUGUUCACGGUUGUAAAGAUGUGAAACGACAAACAAUAAGACAUGCUACAUUCUUGACUGCUCUUGGACACUUCCAUGGAUGUAUUAAGAGAACUCUGCCAGACUCUGCCAUUGUUUUAUUUUGUCCGCGAUCUGGCGGGAAAGGUUUUUCCCUGCAUCCUGUGUGCACUCGCGAUAUUUGGACUUAACCGUAAACUUAACCAUCAUCAUCGCGAGAGAGGAUCAUUCAGACAAGAAAGACCGAUGGCGAAAGUUGGAGGAGGGUCUCUGUGCGAGGGGGCGUGUGAAUAUAUAAGAGCGAGAGAUUCAGUAUUAGCAUUGAUGCUUUUGUCUUUAUUGGUGUGAUCACCAAGCUGGACCUGAUGGAUGAAGGGACAGAUGCACAAGACAUCCUGGAAAACAAACUACUGCUGCUCCACAGAGGUUACAUCGGGGUGGUGAACCGCAGUCAGAAGGACAUUGAUGGAAAGAAAGACAUCCGCGCUGCUUUGGCUGCUGAGAGGAAGUUCUUCCUGUCCCACCCGGGGUACAGGCACAUUGCAGAACGCAUGGGCACACCACACCUGCAGAAGACCCUCAAUCAGGUGAAUGCAGAAUUUAAGAGAAUCACAACAAUUAAUUUGCAAUCCAAGUUCUUCUCUUCGCUGGAUAUUCACUCUACAAGCCUGAUCGACGUGUAUACCAAGAAAGGUGGAGUUCAAGGGAAGAAGAUCAAAAGCAUCAUGCUUCCCAUAACCCAGCAUUGACGUGAGACGCGAAUGCAUCCUCAAAGGUCUUUGUGUAUACUUCAAUGAAGAUCCAGAGCUGGUGAAGGAAUACAUGAGCAUCGACAACAGCAGUCAAACGGCAAUGGCAGAGACGGUCUUCGGAAUAUUUGUCAUUCGACACGACGGUGCAGAGCCUGGGAUGACCCCGAGAACGUUGGGAUCAUUCUGGAGGGGCUCGAAGUGUUGGAUGAGUUGGGAAACGUAUCUUUUGCGGUGGCGAUGAUGUUUGCUCUCGUGUAUGCUCUUGAGCUACCCUCCAGAGCUGAAGUUUACAUUUGAAGCACUGCAGAAAAUAAUGAUGGAGCUAUAGAUGGAAACAGACUAUCCACAAAAGGACAAGUUCUCAAAACAUUGCUUUCCCGUGCCUAAUGUCACUGUUUGGGAUCGCCUCAUCUUCCAAACACGCAGCCAUCAGAGAUUCGGUGACUCACCUCUUUGACAGAAAUGUUGAUUGUAUGCAAGAAGUAUAAAAGUAAGUAAGCAGAUGUUACCAUUGCCUUAUUUGGUCUACUGUUGAAAUUCAAGUUUGUUAUACUGUUCACCCUAAAGUUGAAACAUUUUAAUAUUUGGGAAGAAACUGUUUUUUCAAGCAUCUGUCAGUAUAAAGCUAUUUUGUGAAAUAUAUAUUCACUGUUAUAUUUAAUAUCUGUCAGUGUAAAGCAUUGUUUAUCUUUGCCUAUUUUGUGAAAUAUAUAUUCACUGUUAUAUUUAAUAACAGUGAAAGCCAGUCUGCUUGUUGGCUGAGAUGGUGUUCUUACUGGGCUUUUUUUAUUGUAUGUUCUCUAAUCUGCAUACUUAGACUGACAGCAAUGACGUGAGACGCGAAUGCAUCCUCGUAUUAUAUUUCAUAUAAUAUUUGGGAAGAAGCUUAAUUUUUUCAAGCAUCUGAAGCAUUGUUUCUCUUUGCCUAUUUUGUGAAAUACAAUUUUAUUUCAACAUUUUUGUGUUGCGUUUGUGUUAUGUUUCCACCCUUGAAGCUCACUAGACUGUAGACUGUUGAAAUUCUGUUACUGUUCACUCUAAACGUUUUAAAUAUGUAAACACUCAAAAGUUAUUCUUUGAAUGAACUUGAUUAAAUCAUGGACAGUAUUUCCACAUGAUGAAAUGGCUUUCUUUCAGCUUUAAGCAAUUACGUUGACCCAACCCAGGUCAAUUAAGUUGGUAACACACCUUAUAAAUAAGUAGUAUCAACCCUAAUAGAUUACGUUGACCCAACCCAGGUAAAUUAAGUUGGUAACACACCUUAUAAAUAAGUAGUAUCAACCCUAAUAGAUUACGUUGACCCAACCCAGGUAAAUUAAGUUGGUAACACACCUUAUAAAUAAGUAGUAUCAAUCCUAAUAGAUUGCGUUGACCCAACCCAAGUAAAUUAAGUUGGACCAAUCAAAUUGCUUAAUCUUGAAAGAAAGUGAUUUAAUCAUGUGGAAAUAUUGUCCAUGAUUUAAUUACGUUCAUUCAAAGAGUUAUUUUUUUGAGUGAGUGCUGCUGGGUGAUUGCUUUGGUGCUGUAACUGGAUGUGAUUGUGUUGAACUUUGAUGUAUAUUGGCCUCUGAGCUUCUUGUGGCUUGAUGUUGCAGAUGUCCAUAUUCUACUUCAUGUUCUCUGUGCGAAAACUGUGCCUCAGACUGGCCACCUGUAGGCCUGUUUGUGUCAGGCACAAAUGUUUUUGCUCCAGCACUGAGUGUGGCUUCCUUUCGUCCCCUUUCCAAAUAAGAAUUCAUGCCAUGGGACUCACAGAUGUGUUACUUGCAGCACGAGACCUUCCAGAGCGUCUUAGCACAUUCAUUUAAGCCCUUGAUGCGGCUAUUUCCACUUCCAUUUCCAGUUGCUCCCUCUGUUUCCUGAGCUCUUCCUUCUUUUUCCUGAGCUCUUCCUCUUGUUCAUCCAAUGCAUGCUUGUCUUUUAAUAACAUUUGUCGUGCCAUGAGAGCGGCCAUGUCAGCCUCAGCUUUGAUGCAUGAUGAUGUAGUUGAAAUACUGGAACUGGUUCCAGCAGAGCUCCGCUUGCAAGACCCAAUGUUUCUAUAUGUUUGAAACACUGUCGCUUGGUUUUAUUUCAUCUUGUGCUUCGGAAGUUUCAACAUUUUUCCCAGAGUGUUUUUGAAACAUGAGACAUACUUUGCUGGUGUUCAUCAGAUAUCUCAAUUGAGGGAACAUGUGCAAUGGUGCUGCUCGGUUGUCUCCCAGUUUCAGAAAGCCAUUGCCUGACAUCGUCGAUAAAUCCAUUAUUGUAUUUCAGUGUCUUGGCAAACCAUACAUUUUGUUUUUCCUGUUCGUCUGCAGGAAGAAGAGGAAUUACAGACUUGUGUAACAGGAUGGUUUCUUUAACUAGUUGAAUUAAAUGUUCAAGUUGA